rnacentral:lncRNA from 1 species
GAAGCUGUAACAUGAAGAGGACAGCAGGUCCUUGGCACUUCCUGUUUUAAUUCUAACUAACUGUCAUUAUUGCUCAAGCAACAUUGUGCAAUAUUGCAUUCCUUCAACACACACACACACACACACACACACACACACACACACACACACACACACACACACACACACACACACACACACACACACACACACACACACACACACACACAUAUUUGAUUCAAGGCUGCUAUAUUGCAUAAAAAUAAUCCAUGUCAUAAGCAAGGCUCAUUUAGUUGAUUUUUUAAAGUUGAUUAAAUAGAAAGCUCUGAUUUACUUAGUGUGUUUGAUUUAAGACGGCUGGCAUUUCAAGCAGCUUUAAUAUUUCUGAAGCAGUUUACAUUUUGGCACUAAUGAAACACAAAUUUAGUGCCAGAGUUUAGAUGGAGUUACUGUGUAAACAGGUGAAGUGACCUAUAGAAGGAUGCAGCAGAGUACAGUCCACAUAUCUGGUCUGAUAUUAGUAGAUAUACACAGACAUACGUAAGUGCAUUUUAAUGACGGAAGCAGACCACUCUCCUUGGCUUACCAAGCUAUUUCGGUACAUUAUGACAACACUUAUCAAAUGUUUUUUUAUGUACAUUUCUAAACCCCACACACAAACUGGUUCAGUGUGUUCUUCUACUGUUUAUCACCCGUUCAUGUGAACUCUACUUGCUUGUCUCAAGGUGUGCCAGGGGGUUGUCUUUUCAAAAACCAUGCUGACACCUCACAACACAACUCACACAACCCCACACACACAUGCAGCGUCCGGAUGUGCUUGAGCCUGUACCUACAAAACUUGUGCAACUCCAAUGAAAAUAAACCAAACUAUGACCACUCUGGGAUCUUUCAGUCAACUCUAACACCAGAAUCCAUAGAAUAUUUUCGUUUUGAAGACUUUGCAGUGGUUGUUGUGAUGAGGCUACAGACACAUCACCUCUUCUUUCAGGGAACGAGUGGAAAGAUUUGUGACCCAGAGUCACAACAUUUAAAUGCAAAGGGUUAUUAUGAGAGAAC